ACCCUUCCUCCCUGUGUGGGGCAGUUGCCCUACCACAGUCUGCCAGACAACUGGACGGCUUCUGUUGGCACAGACCCUCCAGCGAAUUUGGCCCUGAUACUAAAGGUCCGUGGGAUGGAUGAGACUUCAACAUGCACCUCUUAUAUUCAUCCCUUGCUGAAGGGAAUACCUAGCCUCCUGAGAACAACAGGUCAAGCCCAGUGAGGUUAACUCACUCCUUUAUUGUUCUGAGCUAUACUCACGAGACCAUGCCUCUGCACCUUGCUAGAGGUGGUACUGCCUUACAGACAGGAAGAUCUGACAAACCUUGGAGACCGCAAAGCUAUAAAACAAAGCAAGGAGGGCAUGGCACUGAACAGCAGCAAAGUCCAAUAAGCAGCAAGACCCACUUCAGAGGAGUUUUAUAAAGAAUAACACCUAGAUUUAUUUUAAAUCAAUCAAAAAGAAGAAACAACAGGGAAUACCUUCCAUAACAGGGAAGGGCAAACUACAGUCCGCGGGCCGGAUCCGGCCCAUCAGGGUUUUCAAUCCAGCCCACAGUAUU